AAUCCCCAUUUUACAGAUGAGACAACUGGGGCCAGGAGAAAUGAAGUGACUUGCCCAAGGUCAACCUGCAGACAAGUGGCAGAGCCGGAAUUAGAACCCAGAUCCUUUUGACUCCUAGGCCCUGGCUCUCUCCGCUAGGAUGUGCGAAGGCCCACUGGAUGCUGGCAGCACAGGUUUUGAGGGCAUGAUGAAACAAACCUCUUCUCACCCAGGAUCAACUCAGAAGCUCAGUGGAGACCAGCAACCGAGUGCGAUUGAUUGGAGGUAUUCGGAAAUGUGAAAGGCAUAAUGGAAAAUGAUGAGUCUUCGAACCACGCGAUUCUCUCUGUUUCCAUCUCCAUAAUUAUUUGUAUAAUGUGGCCUAUUAUUGGCACCCUCAUGCUUCUGCAGCAGAGUUUAGGAAGUGAGACAGAUCACUACUAAGAAUUCGUGGGCCGCAAAUGUUGGAUGAAUGGGUCCCUAAUGAGAGGUAUUUCCUCUGGUCUUAGAACUGCCUUAUCUCCAGAGGCAUAUACAUAUAACUGUGUUUCAGGUACAGGAUGGUUCCACUGUAGGGGGACAAUGGAUGGGGCUGAUAAGAACAAUGAAUGACUGCCAACUCUU